rnacentral:lncRNA from 1 species
GCCUCAGCCUUAAGACUAUAAAGCCAUUUUAAAAUAAGAAAUUUGUGGCUGAAGUUAUAGAUGCUAGGGGAUUAAAAGAUGAGUACAUUGCUCAGUGAAAGAGUAGACAACAAUAUUAGGGCUUAAUAUACAACAUUAGGAAUAGAUAUUAGUUUUAUUUUUCUUUUUACUAAGACUUUACCAACAUUCCUGUGUGGGCGUUUAUAGCAGAAAUUAGAAAUCAGAGCAGUGAGAUUCUGGAGUAAUUAGACACUCAUCUUAGAGUAUUUCUGCAUUUUAUUCUUUUCUGUAAUCAUUUAUUUCCUCAUUUUAAAAAAACACUAUUAUACCAGAUAUUUUGCUGUAUCUUUUAAAAUCAACAUAUCAAAAAUGUUUGUGACUGACUGACCAUAAUUUUAUUAGCCGAAGAAAAUGUGAUACUCUAAAUAUGUUUUCCUUAAAGAGCUUAUAUUUGCCAGAACCCGUGCUUGUAACAAUUGUACAAGUUGAAAUAUAAUUUAGAGCAAAAUUAAUAGUGAUAAUUACCCGUGUUCCUCUUCAAAAGCUCAAUACUUCAUAAACACAUAUCUGAACAUUAAUUAUCCAAAUAUCUUAAUCUGAGAGUAAUAGGCCUUUUGAUUCAUGUUUGGAAUAUUAACAAAUAGAAUAAUAUUAAAAUUCUCAAUACAUCAGUCAAUUAAAUUAUGAUAAAGUAUCCUGUUGCCUCUUAAAUAAAGAAGAUUCUAUUAAAUACACCUGCAUUCAAUACGAUGUAAUACAAAGAAUAAGAAAUAGCAGUAAGAAUUGAUCAAUACUCAGUCCAUCAAUAUCUGAUUGUAUAGUCCUGUGCUUAUACAUAAGCUCCUUCUGAAAAUUUAUAGUGUUAAGUGUGAAUAUUUUGCUUUGUUUUUUCUUAAGCUUCAGAUUUGGAUCUGUAUUUGGAAGAGUACAGGUUUCUAAAAAUAAAAUUUGAUACAAUUAAACAAAGCUGUGUCAAUCCCUUCCAAACUCAGUUGCCUGGCAUAUGAAACCCUAAAUGAUACAUCUCUUUCUAGUUCUUGUUAUUGUCACCAGAAAAAGUCACAAAAUCUGUACAUUUAGAAAAGAGAGCUUUAAUUCUAAAGUCGGGUAGAGCAACCUGCAGGCAAGAAGCAUAGCUCGUGGCUGAAAAUGAGAAGCAGGUGUUUUGAGGGAGGAAAGGAUAAGACAGGAAUUUGUGCUGCAUGGGUUGGCUAAGUAUACAUAUUCAACAGGUUAUAGGAGGAGCUAUGAAUAGCCACAAAUGUGCUGCACACAUGCAUACUAAGCUAACAUGUAUCUUACGUACGUCUACGUUCACUUUGGGGUGGAGACAUAACAUUUCCUUAUAUUUCAGUUAGGCUGUUAUACAUCGAAAGGUGAAGCAGAGGGCACGAAGACACUCAAUGCACAGCCUCCGUAAACUGAACAGAUACACUUCAUGGUCCUGUUCUCUUACAAGGAAGGAAUGUUGCUUAGCUGCAAUGUUGAACCCCUAAGAUCAGGUACAAGUCAAAAAUGUUCAUGUUGCCUCCUCUCAUCAUUCCCACUCAACAUUGAAUUGGAAGUCCUGGCAGCCACUCCCAGCGCCCCUGGAACUCUGGCCCAAGGCUCUCUGACUGACUCCUUCCCAGAUCUUCUCGGCUUAGCAGCUGAAGACUGACACUGCCCGAUUGCCUCGGAAGCCCCCUAGACCAUCACGGACGCCGAGCUUCGGGUAACUCUCACAGUGGAAGGUAAGCCCGUCACCUUCUUAAUCAAUACGGAGGCUACCCACUCCACAUUACCUUCUUUUCAAGGGCCUGUUUCCCUUGCCUCCAUAACUGUUGUGGGUAUUGACGGCC